AGAGUUUGAUCCUGGCUCAGGAUGAACGCUAGCGGCAGGCCUAAUACAUGCAAGGCGAGGGGUUAGCAAUAACACCGUCGUACGGGUGCGUAACGCGUAUGCAACCUACCUAUCACAGGGGGAUAGCCUUUGGAAACAGGGAUUAAUACCGCAUAAAGCAGGGGCUUGGCAUCAAGAUACUGCUAAAGAUUUAUCGGUGAUAGAUGGGCAUGCGUCUGAUUAGUUAGAUGGUGAGGUAACGGCUCACCAUGACGAUGAUCAGUAGGGGGCGUCAGAGCGUGGUCCCCCACACUGGCACUGAGAUACGGGCCAGACUCCUACGGGAGGCAGCAGUAGGGAAUAUUGGGCAAUGGAUGCAAGUCUGACCCAGCCAUGCCGCGUGCAGGAAGAAGGUCCUCUGGAUUGUAAACUGCUUUUGUCGGGGAAGAAUAGGCAUCUUGCGAGGUGUUGUGACGGUACCCGAUGAAUAAGCCACGGCUAACUACGUGCCAGCAGCCGCGGUAAUACGUAGGUGGCAAGCGUUGUCCGGAUUUAUUGGGUUUAAAGGGUGCGUAGGUGGUUUGCUAAGUCAGUGGUGAAAGCUGGUUGCUCAACAAUCAAGUUGCCAUUGAUACUGUCAUACUUGAAAGAAGUGGAGGCUCAUGGAAUGGAUGGUGUAUCGGUGAAAUGCAUAGAUAUCAUCCAGAACGUCGAUUGCGAAGGCAGUGGGCUGUACUUUUUCUGACACUGAGGCACGAAAGCGUGGGGAUCAAACAGGAUUAGAUACCCUGGUAGUCCACGCUGUAAACGAUGCGAACUAGCUUUCUGGUUUAGAUUAGGAGGCUAAGGGAAACCGAUAAGUUCGCCACCUGGGGAGUACCCCGGCAACGGUGAAACUUAAAGGAAUUGACGG
rnacentral:rRNA from 1 species